rnacentral:rRNA from 1 species
UACGGAGGGUGCGAGCGUUGUCCGGAAUUACUGGGCGUAAAGGGCGCGUAGGCGGUGAGAUGUGUGUGAUGUGAAAGCCCUGGGCUUAACCUAGGAAGUGCAUCGCAAACUGUCUUGCUGGAGUAUAUGAGAGGGUGGCGGAAUUUCCGGUGUAGCGGUGAAAUGCGUAGAGAUCGGAAGGAACGUCGAUGGCGAAGGCAGCCACCUGGCAUAAUACUGACGCUGAGGCGCGAAAGCGUGGGGAGCGAACAGG